GUGAGGAAUAUUGGUCAAUGGGCGCAAGCCUGAACCAGCCAUGCCGCGUGCAGGAAGACGGUCCUAUGGAUUGUAAACUGCUUUUAUUUGGGAAUAAACUCCGGUACGUGUACCGGCCUGAAGGUACCAAAUGAAUAAGCACCGGCUAACUCCGUGCCAGCAGCCGCGGUAAUACGGAGGGUGCAAGCGUUAUCCGGAAUCAUUGGGUUUAAAGGGUCCGCAGGCGGUCUUAUAAGUCAGUGGUGAAAGCCUAAAGCUCAACUGUAGAACUGCCAUUGAUACUGUAGGACUUGAAUUCGAUCGAAGUGGGCGGAAUGUGACAUGUAGCGGUGAAAUGCUUAGAUAUGUCACAGAACACCGAUAGCGAAGGCAGCUCACUAGGUCUGGAUUGACGCUCAGGGACGAAAGCGUGGGGAGCAAACAGGAUUAGAAACCCGUGUAGUCC
rnacentral:rRNA from 1 species